UACGUAGGGCGCGAGCGUUGUCCGGAAUUAUUGGGCGUAAAGAGCUCGUAGGCGGCCUGUUGCGUCCGCUGUGAAAUCCCGGGGCUCAACCCUGGGCGUGCAGUGGAUACGGGCAGGCUGGAGGCAGGCAGGGGAGAACGGAAUUCCCGGUGUAGCGGUGAAAUGACGCAGAUAUCAGGAGGAACACCGGUGGCGAAGGCGGGUCUCUGGGCCGAUACUGACGCUGAGGAGCGAAAGCGUGGGGAGCGAACAGG
rnacentral:rRNA from 1 species